rnacentral:rRNA from 1 species
GGAUAACUACCCUUUAGGACCGGGAUAACCUUGGGAAACUGAGGAUAAUACUGGAUAGGCAAUUAUUCCUGCAAUGGGUUUUUGUUUAAAUGUUUUUUCGCCUAAGGAUGGGUCUGCGGCCGAUUAGGUAGUUGGUUAGGUAAUGGCUUACCAAGCCGUUGAUCGGUACGGGUUGUGAGAGCAAGAGCCCGGAGAUGGAACCUGAGACAAGGUUCCAGGCCCUACGGGGUGCAGCAGGCGCGAAACCUCCGCAAUGUGAGAAAUCGCGACGGGGGGAUCCCAAGUGCCAUUCUUAACGGGAUGGCUUUUCAUUAGUGUAAAGAGCUUUUGGAAUAAGGGCUGGGCAAGACCGGUGCCAGCCGCCGCGGUAACACCGGCAGCUCUAGUGGUAGCAGUUUUUAUUGGGCCUAAAGCGUCCGUAGCCGGUUUAAUAAGUCUCUGGUGAAAUCCUGUAGCUUAACUGUGGGAAUUGCUGGAGAUACUAUUAGACUUGAGACCGGGAGAGGUUAGAGGUACUCCCAGGGUAGAGGUGAAAUUCUGUAAUCCUGGGAGGACCGCCUGUUGCGAAGGCGUCUAACUGGAACGGUUCUGACGGUGAGGGACGAAAGUUAGGGGCGCGAACCGGAUUAGAUACCCGGGUAGUCCUAACCGUAAACGAUGCGGACUUGGUGUUGGGGUGGCUUUGAGCUGCUCCAGUGCCGAAGGGAAGCUGUUAAGUCCGCCGCCUGGGAAGUACGG